rnacentral:piRNA from 1 species
UAUUGUUGGCAUCCUUGAUCAGGUGU